ACUGUAGGUUGAAUGGGUGGAGCUUAAAUACUGUAGGUUGAAUGGGUGGAGCUGAAAUACUGUAUGAUAAUUGGGUGGAGCUGAAAUACUGUAGGUUGACUGGGUGGAGCUGAAAUACUGUAUGUUGACUGGGUGGAGCUUAAAUACUGUAGGUUGACUGGGUGGAGCUGAAAUACUGUAUGUUGACUGGGUGGAGCUUAAAUACUGUAGGUUGACUGGGUGGAGCUGAAAUACUGUAUGUUGACUGGGUGGAGCUUAAAUACUGUAGGUUGACUGGGUGGAGCUGAAAUACUGUAUGUUGACUGGGUGGAGCUUAAAUACUGUAGGUUGAAUGGGUGGAGCUGAAAUACUGUAUGAUAAUUGGGUGGAGCUGAAAUACUGUAGGUUGAAUGGGUGGAGCUUAAAUACUGUAGGUUGAAUGGGUGGAGCUGAAAUACUGUAUGAUAAUUGGGUGGAGCUGAAAUACUGUAGGUUGAAUGGGUGGAGCUGAAAUACUGUAUGAUAAUUGGGUGGAGCUGAAAUACUGUAUGAUAAUUGGGUGGAGCUGAAAUACUGUAGGUUGAAUGGGUGGAGCUUAAAUACUGUAGGUUGAAUGGGUGGAGCUGAAAUACUGUACAUUGAAUGGGUGGAGCUGAAAUACUGUAUAAUGAAUAGGUGGAGGUGAAAUGCUGUAUGAUAAAUUUGUGGAGCUGAAAUACUGUACAUUGAAUGGGUGGAGCUGAAAUACUGUAUAAUGAAUAGGUGGAGCUGAAAUACUG